rnacentral:rRNA from 1 species
UACGAAGGGGGCGAGCGUUGUUCGGAUUUACUGGGCGUAAAGGGCGCGCAGGCGGCUCAUUUUGUCAGGCGUGAAAGCCCCGGGCUUAACCUGGGAACUGCGUUUGAUACGGAUGGGCUAGAGUUCGGGAGAGGAGCGUGGAAUUCCCAGUGUAGAGGUGAAAUUCGUAGAUAUUGGGAAGAACACCGGUGGCGAAGGCGGCAACCUGGUCCUUGACUGACGCUGAGGCGCGAAAGCGUGGGGAGCAAACAGG